rnacentral:lncRNA from 1 species
UCAACGCAUCCGAAACACAUGAUUGAUGUGGGAAUUCAUGCAACGUCGCUGGGAAUUUGAAACCUGGUGCUCAUCUGGAGAUCAUGGUUGGGAAGAGGAGGCAGGAGCGUCGUCUGAGCUGGCUCAUGAGGGGAGUUUCAGCGUGUCGUGUGGCCCCUUGUUACAGGGCCUUUUGCCAAGGCUGCUCUUGGAGCCUGCCAAUAGCAUCAUGAAGACUCUGCACUCCUCGCAGUGACGAUGCUACAAACCCAGAAGGAGCAACUGCCUCAUCUCUGUUUCUCAGUGUAGAGAGUAAAU